rnacentral:rRNA from 1 species
CGGACGGGUGAGUAACACGUGGAUAACCUACCUAUAAGACUGGGAUAACUUCGGGAAACCGGAGCUAAUACCGGAUAAUAUAUUGAACCGCAUGGUUCAAUAGUGAAAGACGGUUUUGCUGUCACUUAUAGAUGGAUCCGCGCCGCAUUAGCUAGUUGGUAAGGUAACGGCUUACCAAGGCAACGAUGCGUAGCCGACCUGAGAGGGUGAUCGGCCACACUGGAACUGAGGCACGGUCCAGACUCCUACGGGAGGCAGCAGAG